rnacentral:tRNA from 1 species
UUGGUUACUAUCCUUCCCGUACUA